UACGGGGGGGGCAAGCGUUGUUCGGAAUUACUGGGCGUAAAGGGCUCGUAGGUGGCCAACUAAGUCAGACGUGAAAUCCCUCAGCUUAACCGGGGAACUGCGUCUGAUACUGGAUGGCUUGAGUUCGGGAGAGGGAUGCGGAAUUCCAGGUGUAGCGGUGAAAUGCGUAGAUAUCUGGAGGAACACCGGUGGCGAAGGCGGCAUCCUGGACCGACACUGACGCUGAGGAGCGAAAGCGUGGGGAGCAAACAGG
rnacentral:rRNA from 1 species